rnacentral:misc_RNA from 1 species
AACGGUCUAUACCUGCGGUACCUGCGGAAGGAUCAUUACCUAGAGUUUGUAGACUUCGGUCUGCUACCUCUUACCCAUGUCUUUUGAGUACCUUCGUUUCCUCGGCGGGUCCGCCCGCCGAUUGGACAACAUUCAAACCCUUUGCAGUUGCAAUCAGCGUCUGAAAAAACAUAAUAGUUACAACUUUCAGCAACGGAUCUCU